rnacentral:lncRNA from 1 species
UGUGGGAGAACAUCACAUGCAUUUUGAAUGCUAUGAAAAUAUAAAACGUUGCGAAAUAUUUGAUACUUAAAUUGCAACAUUAGAAGCGUUGAUUUUUUUUCUUCAUUUAAAUAUCUAAGAAAUCAGAUACAAAACUUAAAACUGUUUUCUCAACAGGCGACAUUAUAUCUUUUGUCACAUUUAUCGUAGCACGUAUAGUUGGCUUAACGUGUUUCAUAUAACUAUCUCUAUACAAAAAAGGAAUUUUACAUUGGUGAUGAAAAUAGUGGGUUAACGCAAAACUUGGUAUUGUGUUAGCAACUAAACUUGCUUGCAUUAAAUGCGUUAACGAAUUUAUGUAUUCCUCAGAUGUUGUACAUUGUAGAGCAAAGUCAUUCAGCAGUCGAAGAGCCUUCCACUUUUCGAUAUUGUUCCCGACAUAAUGAUGACAUAGAAAAAGUAAAUAGUACAUUCGUAUCUGUGGAUUAACAAUAAUCAUGUCCUUGUCAUAAAUUGGAAAGUUAACAUCUUCAUGAUAAAACAUUAAAUGUGGCUUUGUCUUUGGAGUGAGAUAAAAUAAAUCCGUACAUGAAUGUUUAUAUCGCUGCACAAAAGUUAUCCCAAUUUUUUCUAACAUUUUACUUCUUAGGGAAGGCUUUAAAUCAGGGGUUAUUAUCUGAUGAUCGGUCGAACUUUUUAUUUGACAUAAACGAAUUAUCUUUAAAGCUUUUUCAUGCUGUUUGCAUUGCAAAAAGAA